UACGUAGGGUGCAAGCGUUGUCCGGAAUUAUUGGGCGUAAAGAGCUCGUAGGCGGUCUGUCGCGUCUGCUGUGAAAACUCGGGGCUUAACCCCGGGCCUGCAGUGGGUACGGGCAGACUAGAGUGCGGUAGGGGAGACUGGAAUUCCUGGUGUAGCGGUGAAAUGCGUAGAUAUCUGGAGGAACACCGGUGGCGAAGGCGGCAUCCUGGACCGGUAUUGACGCUGAUGCGCGAAAGCCAGGGGAGCAAACGGG
rnacentral:rRNA from 1 species